GAUCUUGCGACGAUGGGCGAAAGCCUGACGCAGCAACGCCGCGUGCGGGAGGACGGCCUUCGGGUUGUAAACCGCUUUUCGGGGGGAAGAGGAAGGACGGUACCCCCGGAAGCAGUCUCGGCCAACUACGUGCCAGCGGCCGUGGGAAAACGUAGGAGGCGAGCGUUAUCCGGAGUUCCUGGGUGUAAAGCGCGUGUAGGCGGGCCCGCAAGUGGUGCGUGAAAGCGCCCGGCUCAACCGGGCGAGGACGUGGGCGAACUGCAGGGCUAGAGGCAGGUAGAGGCGUGUGGAAUUCCGGGUGUAGUGGUGAAAUGCGUAGAGAUCCGGAGGAACACCAGUGGCGAAGGCGACACGCUGGGCCUGGCCUGACGCUGAGAGGCGAAAGCAUGGGGAGCAAACAGG
rnacentral:rRNA from 1 species